CUCAAAUCAGAGGAAGAAAAUGGAGGGAUGGACAGCGCACAUUUCCUGUCCUUUUUUUCGUAUGCCAAAAGACUGUGACGGCCGUGUACUGCCACGAGGAACAACGCCUUUCUGCAUGAUGUUCUGCAUUUGAUGGUCAGUUUGAAACGCCAUGUCUGUGAUGGAUGAUGUUUGACUUAAAGGAAAUGUACCGUUAUCGGACGCUGUGAUUCUCGUAGUUUAACUCUUGUACUUAAAGCUUGAACUGAUUAAUGUGUUUUAGGUUUUUGUGAACGUGUCUCCUUACAUUCUGGACUUUUUGAACGGAUCGGUCUUUAAAAUAAUUGUUUUUCUUUUAUAACAGUGAGAGCAUGAUGACUGGAUAUCCGCCUGCAUGCAUCGUCGUUGAACGUUUCCUGUCUGUGAAUCAACUCCCCAUGAAAUAAAAGCUGCUCGCUCUCAUGCU